CACAAGUCCUGCAUUUGUUCACAGCAGCAGCUCCUCUUAAACUGCCUUGUGCUUCAGAGGAUCUGCUUGCUGAGGAUUUGUAAGAUGUGGGCCUAAAAUAUUUAAUUUCAGGAAGUCAAGAAGUGGUUCCUGUCACCGAAACAGUUAAUCAGAAAGCACCAACUCUCCACUGCAACGUGUGUGUGCGUGCACAUGUUUUUGUUUUUUAGAGCCAGCAAGAUUUGCUUUGGUUUUUUUAAAGCAGAAAACACCAAAAAAGUUGGCUGUGGUUUCAGCUGCUAUCGCUCGAGAUUUGUACUGCUGACUACCAAUCCUAAAAGAGUUAACCUGCUAAGUAUGACUCAGAAGCAGAGAAGGAGAUGCGAGGCUGAGAGCCGGGGAGGAAGCGCAGAAACAGAGGUGAGGAACAGAAUAAUUGCCAAAAAAAGGUGCAGAGUCCAGGAGCGACGUUCCCUCCGGUCUGCCUGGCCCUGGCACCGCUGGCACGGGCUCCCUGGAAAGCUGCAGUUCCGCUCUUAUAACACAAGGAGCAGGCUGGAGAAUUUAGAGCUGCGUCACAGAGCUCAGCGAGAGAGUGAGAGAGCAAGCUCCGUCGAUAGGUCUACCAGCAACAGCCCUGCUGCAGCAAGAGGGGAGAGAGGCAGCAAGAGAGGCACAGAGGGCUCCAGGAAGAGAAGUGGCACCAACACCACGGACUGGGCUCCUGCCACCAUCCCCUGCCAUUUGCACCUUGUACUCGGGCUCGCUUGGCGUAGGAGGCUUCGCCCAUUGACGAUGCUGGAGACCCGGCGCGCUUAAUCCCACGGGGAGGGAGAGUGGGCAGACACCGAAAGGGUUAACGGGAAGGAAAUUUCUGGAACCUUCUCUUCUGCGGCGCUCCAGAGCGAGCGGAGGGCUGAGGACUGCGCAGAUGGUGCACGGGCACGGCUCCUCGGUCCGGUUCGUCUCCCUCACCACCCAGCAAUGAAGAUGGCAGCUCUGCCUGAAGUGCUGAGGACACAGCCAGCCUUGAGCUUGGUCCUUCUGGCCGAGGAAGUCUCCCGAUUAUGCAGUGGAGUGGUAACUUUGCUUUCUCAUACAAGAGGGACCAUUAUUCCAUAGCCUUUCAUCAUUCUGAGGCUUACCCAAGUUUCAGGAUGUGCUAGCAGAGGAGUUUAAUCUCCGUUACUCACUGGCUGCCAUCUCCAGCAUCAGGGUUGGUUGUUUAGCAACAACCGCUGGGCUCAGGCACCGCGCGGCCGCCGUCCCCAUCGGCUGGGCUGCAGCCUGGCCUCUGCAGGGUGCUCUGGGAGACAGGGAGAGAGGGAAGGGCUGGAUUUACACCCCAAACGGAAUUUCGGAGGUUUGGGCGCGAAGGCCGCAGGCGCUGCGGAUUUUUCGCGACGCCGUCCUUUGCGCAGGGCCGCCAUUUCCAACGGCAGUGCGGCGCAGGGACGGGGAGGGAAGAACCCAACAGACUGUACGUGCCACUCCCCACUUUCUUUCCCUCCUUUCCAUCUCCAUCUUUCCUCCUUCCCCUCCUUUCCUGCCAGAUUCCGUAGGGAAUUUCAGCCUCUUACUGCAGUCAUCACAACCCCUCCUGACUCACUGAGCCUUCGCUGGCUGUAGCUGGCUCCCUCCGAGCAUCCUUGCCUCCCGCAGCGCCAGAUCCGCAGAGCAGGGGAACAACAGGAACAGCAGCGACGGUGGUGGUCCCUGCAGCCAGACAGACAGGCAUAAAUACAGACACACACACAUGAGAACAGUCCCAGGCAGCUGUGGAGGGGGUUCUGUAUGGCCAGGAGCUGGACUAAGGCAUGAUGCUGGGUUGUGUGGAUGGUGGGUGGGUUGAGCCUGUUUUGCUGAGACAACUCUUUGUGGUUUUCCCCAUCGCGGUUGUGGGGUGGAGAAGCCCUGACUUUGUAAAGCUACUGCUGUUUCAUGGCUGUCAAGGAGGUGCCACUGGCUGCUGAGUGUGUUCAGAGCAGGGAUGUAUUUGGUUUAAUUCCUUCUGCCACCAUGUUCUGGCCGCAGCGAUGGUUUAACUGUGCCUAAAUGCAGGGAGGGUAAGGAGACGGAUAAAAGAGGAGUUAUUUCAAUGUUAAACUCCAGCUGUAAAUCUCAUUACCCAGGAAUUGAGGUUACUGUCAGCAGGUAAAUCUGUGGGACUGGCAGGAAACAAGGCUAAGAAGGGGACAUGGCACAUUUCUGUAGGACAGCAGUGAUUGUGUGCACAGCGGUGGCACUGGCACCGUGAGCUGUACCUGGGUAACUGUUCCGUGAUCAUUUUCUGCACAGUGCCACAAUAGGACUGGGGAAAGCUGUGAUUUCUCCCUCCCUCUGACACUUGUGUGUGUGGCACUGUAUGAGCUGAUUCAUUUCCCUGUAUCUGGGUUUCCCUGCUCUGGGGAGUGGGGUUUGCUCUGCCUCGGCCUUGGUGCAGCAUCGUGACGCAGCGUUCGGUACCACGCCGACAAAACACACGCAAUUUUCUCGGGCGUUCUGACCGCUCGGGGACCGCGGGAUUCGGGCAAGGAAGGGCAGGAUUUCACAUGCCCGUGAUAGAAAUUUAGAAGCAUUACCUCUUCUUGUCUGCUAGCAAAGGCAGGCUCUGUGAGGGACGAGGCAGCCAUGAUCUCCUCCUGCUCUUGUUUUGCCGAUGGUCAUGUUACAUCUGUGACGCAGACGAAUUUUGCUGUUGGUUCCUGUCGGUGCUUUAGGGAGUGGAGCUGAUGGGGGCAGAAGCUUGAAUAUGGUUAGAAACGUUCUUUUCAUACUGAUGUUAGAGUUUGAGCCACCCCAAAGGGUCAGGGGUAUCAGACCCACCUAGUGACCCCCCAAAUGGUGAAGGAAUUCGGAUGAGCCCCAGCACCCCUGGCCAUUUUGCUGCUCGCAGAGCAGGCUCGGAGCCUGCAGCUCUGCUGCUGCUGCUGUUCAUUUCCAUGUUAUACAAAUACAGCAUUGGGCUCUGUGUCAGGAGCUUUCUGAUGCUGUGAGAAGCUUAAAGUCUACAAGCAAAUGUUUUUCUUUUCUUAUUUGGGAACAUUCAUUAAAAUGUCUAAAUGCCAAGUGUUCUACCCUCUCUCCUCCGACAAAUCUCUCCCAGACCUAUCAAGAAAAUUCAGUGCUGCUGCGUAGGAUUUUUAAAACUUUAUCGUGGUGUUUUCUUACAGUUUAAUAUGGUUAUGGCUGGGAGGGAAAGAUUUAAUUUGGUUAAAUAUCUGUAAUGCUGAUGUUAACGGACAAGGAUGUAGGCAAGAGCUGUCCAUGUCCUCUUUAUCUCUUUAUAUAGACAGUCCCAAGCCCAGGCUGUGAGGAAUAAAGGGAAUGCUCUAUCCCAUUCCCACCCACCCAAACAAUUUCGGUGCAAAGGCAGCAGUAGAAAAGGCCAAGCUGGAAUGUCACAAAAUGGUUCCACCAGCACUCAGAGAUGCCAGUGCCGUUUAUCCUGGCACGGCUCCGAGAGCGGCACCGUGAGCCGCCUGCUGCAAGGUCAUUCCCCUGACUCAUGGUCAGCAACCAGUUGGUUCAGGAACUCCCAAUCUACUUCUCUUGCAACUGUGCCCAUGCCUGAACCUGGAGGGGAGGCCUGAAAAUUAACAUUACUGCAGCAGUGGGGGCACUGAGCCCAAAACUGUAGCUCCAAAAAAAUCCUAUGUCUCUGAAAGAUUUUAAAAUCCAUAUCUGUAAUUUGUUUCUUGCCAGCUCCAAAAACUUUCCACUAGUUCCCUCAUCCCCUUUUCCCCCAAAACUUCCUCUGCACUGCUGGGAACCAGGAGUGACACAUAUUUAAGAGCUCACACUCUGUUCUAGGAAGAAAAUCUCUGUGUAAUUUGCAUUUCUGUGGCUAUCAGGUGCACUGUGCAGGCUCUCCAGAGCCUGUCAAGCCAGGGGUGUCUCUCAGGUGCUUCCAGCGUCAGAUACCUCAGCUCAGGAGCUGUCUUGUGCCCUCCCAGGUUUCCCCAUUUUUCCCUGGUCUUCCUGUUUGCCCAUCUCACUCAUAUUUUCAGUUGUCUCAGGACAACACCAGCCGUGGAUAUGCUCAGGGCUGGCUCUGGCUCUCUCAGCCUCCCAGGCAGCAGAGGAGUGGUUAAUUCCUCUGAGCAAAAGAACUUAUUUAGUGCCCAAAGUUCAACAGGGGGGCAGGUUCUGUGGACAGAGAGGGGCAGGGGGAGCAGCCCCCUCCUGCUCCCAGAGCUGCCAGCCCACCCUGCCAAGCCCCCAGCCUGACCCUGCUCACAAUGAGCCUUCACCUUCCCCACGGUUAUUCCCUGGUUUCCAAAGGGACAGAACCUGGCUGCCAAUCCCGGUGCCAGUGACGGCUCCUCGCCUACAGGGAGGCAGAUGUGAUGGCUUGUCUGCUAAAAACUGAGCCAACACACUGUGAUUCAGCCCUCCAGCUUUCCAAGGAAGAGCUAUUUCUGAGUGAAGCUCAUCUCUCCAGCUCCCCCCACAAACACUCACAGCACUCAGGAGUCCAACAGCAGCCACUGUUGCAUUUGGGUAUCCAGCUCAGAUGUUUCUUAAACACUGACAAUGGCUCUUGGACACACGGGGAUGUUUCAGGGAUGGAAUGAUGGAAACCCUGGGAACAGGGACAGACCAGCAGCUCACACGCCCGGGGGAGUCAGCCAGGAGUGUUUGGUCAGUGCUUUUCUCCUGCUGUUUUGCCAGGUCCUUGUACUGCAGGUACUGUUAAACUAAAGGCUUGUUUUCAGAUGUCUGGUUUAAAGGCAGGUUAUACUUCAGUGAACAUCAGGCUGGGUUUGUUUCCUUAUGCUCCUCCCUGGCACAGGACAUUCUUUUGUCUCUAGAAUGACACAAAAGAAAAAUAUAACUUCCCUUGCCAUUACCUGGAGGAGCUGGAGCGGUGGUGUUGGGGGAACACCAUGUUCCUGAACUGACUGUACAAAUCACAACAAUCAUCUCCCUGUGAGAGCUUUCAAGCCCUGCAAUCAGUACUUUACAUUCUAAAGUGAUGCUUAGGUACAGGAGUUAGGAAUAGAAAAUGGCCUUUCUGGUUGCAGGUGCCUAGGUGGAUCAUUUGUUUGAGUGGAGUGAGUUUUGCAAUGUGCUGCUCACUCAGGCUGUGUAGGGCUAAAUUUGAUGAGUUUUCCUUCCUACUGCCCUCCCCUGACCUCUAGCCAUGAAAGUACAGUGUUCUUCCUGAGUUUGCCCAGUUUCACCUCACUGUUCCCUGUGAAAUCUGAAAUCCUCCACAGGAUCCAGGGCUCAGCAGUUCCUGUGCCCUCCAAACAGGCUCAGGGUUUGCCCAGGAACUCUCCUGAGAGCAAAGCUGGGGGAGAACUGGAUGACUCCAGGCAAGCCAAAGCAAUUUCAGAUGAGCAGAGGGGAUCACAGGAUGGGGAAGUACAGCACUAAUAUCUAAGCACACCUCUAAUGGUCACCAUGCUAAAACAGACACUGCAGUGUGCUCUGACAGAUUCCCCUUAACAGGAAUUGAAAUCAGUGACUCAAACCAAGCAGGCCUGACUGUCCCACUGCUCACAGUCAAAAGGGUCACAAAGCCCCACAGGCUUUUACCCCCAUCCUGUCCCAGUGUGCAGCCUGCCUUGGGUUUUGGGGGGUUUCAGACACAGAGUGUCUGAGUUUUAACUCCAUUUGUACUGCAGUUGUAAGGCUGCAAGAGGAGGACUGAAGGAAUAGUCUACAUUCAAUUCAGGAUUGUAAUGUGGAGUUUUUAUUGUGGUCUUAAUAAAGGAGAAAAGUAUCUCCCUUAUACUUUAAACUCGUGAAGAAAGUACCUGCUUUUGCUGCCCAUAAGAGCAGUGGCCUCUCCAGAGGCAUCUCCAGGCACAAAUAUCAAUUUUCCACAGCAGUGCAGCCCCCAGUCUGCCUUCCCUCAGCCCAGGCCGGUGCUCUGACACACCAAGGGCUCCACACUGAGGACUGGCCCUCAGUGCAAGUCACAGCACAUUUGUCCACAGCUGACCCACGCAGCACCAGACUUGCACAACAAAGAGAUGCAGUUACAGGCUCCCCACGCUGAGGAGGCCUUUUUUUGAAACCUUAGAAGUUCAUUCAUUUCCAUUCCCCUUACAGGUCACCACUUGUACUGUCACACCCCUUGUCCUGCACCUGGCACUGGGCUGAUUCAUUCCUUCACUGGGAGGAUGAUGCAUCAAGCUCAGAUUCUCAGCAUGUAAAACAGGGAUUAUUUUCUCCAGGGGAGAGCAGAGCCUGGUGAACCACGAGUUUCACCCUGUGAUGUGAAAAUGGAGGAAAAAAUUUAUGAUGCACACUGAGAUCUGUUUUGCUUUCUGUAAAAGCCCCGGAACUGCCUUUCUAUAGAAGGUGCAGCUUGUGCAAAAUCAGGUCUGUGACAUCCAGGCUUGCCUUGUUCCUGCAAACUGAAGGUCUCAGGGUAGGGAGGAAGUUCCCUUUCACAGGGAAGGCAGGGAUUCCCUUUUUGUCUUUGUCUCCUAUGGAAUGUAUAAAGCAGUGUGAAGUCCAUUAAAAGCUUUGAGUUGUUCCUCUGAAAGAAGCUACAGAACAGCACUGCCACUAAAACAUCUGAAAAGAAGGCAAACCCACAGAAUAUUGUACUUUCCCUACUGUUAUUUAUGGGAAAGUCCAGACCACUGUGAUAAAGGCAAGCACAGGUGACAGUAUUUGCUGCUCUCCACACAGCAAAAGUCUGAGAACAGCAUGGAUUCAUUUUCUUCCCUGUGACAGUACAGAGGGGCUGGGAUGGAAUUCCAGAGCAGCUGUGGCUGCCCCACCCCUGGGAGUGUCCAAGGCCAGGUUGGAGCAGCCUGGGACAGUGGAAGGUGUCCCUGCCCAUGGCAGGUGUGGCACUGGGUGAGCUUUAAGGUCCCUUCCAACCCAAACCAUGCUGUGCUCCUGUUUUCCUGCCCAUGUGCACAUCCCCAGCAUCCUGAACUGCUCCUUCCUCCUGCCCAGACACAUUGGGAGCCUUGGAAAGGAGAGCACAGAUGGAUGUACCCUUCCCAAAUGUGCACCUGCACCUUGCCAAGAAGGGCUGACACCUUCUGGGGAGCUUGUGAAGGCAACAGGACAAACUCCAGGUAGCCUGGAGGAGGGGCAGCAGCAUCUUAAUUAUGCUGAAGUGAAACCUGGUUUUAUCAAAACUAUAAAUAAUAAAUGAGCCAUUGGUCUUCAUCUGCUGCAUGAUAUUUCUGGAAAGGUUGGUCUCCUUUGCAGGGGGGGAAGAUGUGCAGAGGUGUUCAGUCCUUCUAAGUCUCAUGCUUGGACACAAGUUCCCAUUUUCAGCAGCACAACAUUAAGUGACAUUUCCUCCAAGUAAUUUUCAAAACCCUAAUGAAGAUUUGUUGUAAUGCUUACUACUGAGGCAAGGAAAAACCAAAGCAAAGCUCACUGUGAGCCUGUUUCUCAGAGAUGCUGCUGUGAGUCUGUGAUCCUGCACCUGCAACUCCUGGUGCAGCUUUUCAGGAGUAAAUCUCACCUGAUAAUAGAGGGUGCCUCCUAAAUAACUGUGCCACAUGGCAGGCACUGGGGAGGGAACCUGCUUUCCACUCGUCUUUCACCCUGUUGCCCCAGAUACUGGAUUUAGAAACGUCAGUAAAUAUCCAGACACAGGAAUCUAGUCCAGUUAUUUCCCCUUCCUCCACCCCUCUUUCUUGGAAGGACAAGCUCUCGUCUCUGAGCUCUCCCUCUCCUGCCUGGGAGUGUGCAUUAGGAUGGAGGCGCCGGAGCAGAAUUUUGGAUGUGGUUACAAGAGGAAUACACAGAGCUGCCAAAACCCCAGGGCAUCAAUAAGUGGAACUGCUGCCUGCAGUUGUGCUUUGUUCCAUUUCACAUUGGCCUCUACUCCAGCACAGGUCAGACACUUAUCCAAGGGUUGAUAGGUCCUGAAUUAUGCAUGUGUGGAGUUCAGAGGCUUCUCAACACCCCCUCUAGUCCCUCUGCUCUGAGCUGUGGACACUGCAGGUUAAGUGCUCAGCCCUGCUGCAGUUCCAGGAACCAUCAGCCACUCAUUUUCACACUCUCCUUCCUCGACAACUUCCACUGAACCAUUUACAGCUCAAUUUGUGAACGCUCCUUUUUCGUUCUGACCCACACUCAAAGUGCCUUCAAUCCAAUUUAUUUUCAUUCUGCCUGCAGAAUUUAAAAGUUGUCUCACAAAAGUCUGCAAGUCCUUGCUUAUUUAAAGCACAGGGACUGCUGGCAGAGGAAGUUCCAUCAGGACACUCACAUUUCCCUUCCCUGUCACAAAAAGCACCUGAUCUGUCCUGUACUCUCUGAUCAGUGAGUGACAGAAAGCCAGAACACUCUCUGUCUUGGACAGAAUGAGGUUUAUAGCCUGGUUUCAUCUGCAGUGAAAUGGAAAAAGUGUUCCUGUACCACACAAACUUCCCACACUCACCCCAUUAGCAUCGUGCUCUGCACUAGCAA